UACGUAGGGAGCAAGCGUUGUCCGGAAUUACUGGGUGUAAAGGGAGCGUAGGCGGCAGGGCAAGCCUGAUGUGAAAGCCCGGGGCUCAACCCCGGGACUGCAUUGGGAACUGCCCUGCUGGAGUGCCGGAGGGGCAGGCGGAAUUCCUAGUGUAGCGGUGAAAUGCGUAGAUAUUAGGAGGAACACCAGUGGCGAAGGCGGCCUGCUGGACGAUGACUGACGUUGAGGCUCGAAAGCGUGGGGAGCAAACAGG
rnacentral:rRNA from 1 species